rnacentral:misc_RNA from 1 species
GGUUUACUCACACUCAAAAGGCAAGGAACACUUGAUGUCGUAGUUCCCAAGGCUCAAGUAGAAAAUCUCCCAAAGCUUCCAUUAUUAGAGUAUUGCUCAAAACAAUUUACAUUUUCUCAUUAUAGAACUACUCAGAAUCCAAGCUCCUAAAAUAGUUUUGCAACACUUAUAAAAGCAACUUCAUUUCCACCAACAAAGAUUUCUGUCGAAUCAGAACUCAAGAAAAACUAACACAACCUAUAAAUAAAACAAUCAAGGCUUCCAUGCCUUAAUCAAGGACCAUUAGGAGACUAUAGGAGAACAAUAGCAUAAGCACAGACCAGAACGACCCAAACAUUAUGUUAAAUGCUAGCCAUUGUCACCAGCUUGCCAUAAAGAAUGUGAUCGUCCCUCCCAGUGUUGCUCUCU